AAAACGACUCUCGGCAACGGAUAUCUAGGCUCUCGCAUCGAUGAAGAAUGUAGCGAAAUGUGAUACUUGGUGUGAAUUGCAGAAUCCCGCGAAUCAUUGAGUUUUUGAACUCAAGUUGCGCCCGAAGCCUUUCGGCCAAGGGCACGUCUGCCUGGGUGUCACGU
rnacentral:rRNA from 1 species